rnacentral:lncRNA from 1 species
CUGUUCAAGUUACUGUUCGAGGUGACAUGGCAGUUACUGUUCAAGGCGACGUGGCAGUUACUGUUCGAGGUGACGUGGCAGUACUGUUCAAAGUGACGUGGCAGUACUGUUCAAGGUGACGUGGCAGUUACUGUUCAAAUUACUGUUCAAGUUACUGUGACGUGGCAGUUACUGUUCAAAUUACUGUUCAAGUUACUGUUCAGCACUGUAUAUUUUUUCCUCCCCUACAAAUUUGCUCAACAUCAAACCAAACCAUGUCAGAACAAGAAACUUCAGACACAG